UCAAACUUGUUAAAGGUUAAAAUGUUAAUAAAAAACAAAUGCACUUAAUAAUCUAAAGUGUGAACUAUUCAGAUUCAGACCUUCAUUAAGUAUAAAUAAAUAGCCUUAAGUAGGUGUAAUUUGUCCCAGAUAUACUAUAUCCGAACAAAUAACCAAACAAACCCCAUCCUUUCCGAUGAGUCAGUCCCUUCCUCUCUUUCCAAUGAUAUAUGUUAACAAUUUCUCUGUUUUACAGGUUUUUCGGCGCCAUUGCUUCUCCAUCUUUGUACAGCCGUGAAUCGAACUCAUGACGCCGGUGCAUAACCCAACAAAUCAGAUCUGGCCGGAUUCCCAAUUUUUCGUUGAUUGAUACACUGGUUCUAUUUGUGGUUUCUGCAAAAUGCUGCUACUUGUUAAUAAAAGAAUCAAAUUUGUCUUUUUUCUCUC